UACAGAGGGUGCGAGCGUUAAUCGGAAUUACUGGGCGUAAAGCGUGCGUAGACGGUUAUUUAAGUCGGAUGUGAAAGCCCCGGGCUCAACCUGGGAAUUGCAUUCGAGACUGAAUAGCUAGGGUGCGGUAGAGGGAAGCGGAAUUUCCGGUGUAGCGGUGAAAUGCGUAGAUAUCGUAAGGAAGACCAGUGGCGAAGGCGGGUCUCUGGACAGGCCCUGACGCUGAGGCACGAAGGUCAGGGGAGCAAACGGG
rnacentral:rRNA from 1 species